CUGCUAUUAAUGACUUCAACCAUCUAUGUCACUAUAACUAAUAGAUCAUCUUCAGUAAAAGUAGCAUAUGAACAAUUCCCAGCUGUUGUUUUGGUUGCUGCUGGUUGCACUUAGUAAUAGACUCUAUUACAUGAUUUAUGGAAAGAGGAAGUGUCUUUACAGUUUUGGCUGUGUUGCUCAAUGUUGUUAGAGCAGAUUAACUAUUAUGCCUCUUGUAGUCAAUAUGUAACGAUUAAGUAUUGAUGUCAAUGAUAUAAUGUUCAUUUCAGGUAAUUACAUAGGUAAUUCCUAUGAGAAUAAUAAUAACAUCUUGUUGCACAGUGCACUUUUAAGCAUAAGAGUGAUUGUUGAAAAUAUUGUUUUGGUCUGACUUGAUUCGCAUUUUUAUGGAUACAAUGUACAAACUGAUGUGCAUAUUUUGGUGUUUACAAAACACUUGGAUUAUGUUGAAAUAAAAAGAACUAGAGUUACUUAUGCAAGAGGGAAGUGCUCUAACUAGUAGUGCACUUUUAAAAUAAUACACGGAAAGUUCUGAGAAAAGAACUGUUAAAUGUCACAUUAAUUUGAAAAGAGCCUCAUAAGAAUAAUAUAGUAAGAUAAUAUAAGAUUAAAUGUAGCUCCUGAUUCUCCAUGCACCCCGGGUGCUGCCUUCUGUGUGUCUGCUGUGUGACUCUCACUUCCUGUGGUCUCUUGUUUUGGACACUGUGUUCCUCAUGUCGGGCCAGAACUUUGUCUGUGGUUGUUUUGUUGGUCCAUUUUAAACUGCUGCACAUUUUUGGCGCAGCUACUGAAGGAUUCUUGGGAUGUGCCAUGUGGAAGGAGACUGUUACCGUGGUGGCAGUUGCUAGAGUAACAAUCUAAAGCCACGGUUGCCAUGGAGACAGCGGUGGAGGAGGUCGGCAUGGAAACUGCACCGACCGCAGACAGGGAUCUGAUUGGUCCGUGUAGUUCCUGUGAGUCGAUGCUACGCAGCACAGAGACACGCAGCAAGGACACCCCACCCACUCAUCCCACCCACCCUCAAUGCACACCCACACAGACCCAGGGCACCCCCGAAUCUGGGGGUGGGGAAGGGUGGAGAUUAAAAUGUUUCACAAGGGGUUGUAAAACUUUAAGUGUUUGUAUAUUGAAGUAUUCUGUUGUAUUUUAGCGUAUUCAGUUGAACUGAGGUAUGCACGUGCAAUAGAUAAAGUGUUUGAAACUAGAACAUUCCCAUUGUUAUUUCUUUUUACGAUGUGGAACUUCGCUAAUGUCUUGACUGUUGAUUAAAAUAAAUGCGUGUAUAGCAGGGGUCUCCAACCUGUAGCUCUCCACCCCCUUCUAUGUAGCUUACCAAAGGAUUUCAGAAUUCUACGUAUUGUGCUAAAAUUUUAUUAAUUAUUAUUAAACAAUUUUGAUGCUUAACUUGCACUAAUACAUCUAUAGUGGUUUAUGGUAUAUAAGCAUCUAACUCUUCCCCAUCUAAUCCUUACUGUGGCUUAUAUAUACUCCAAUUAGAAGCUUUCUGGCAUUUUUGUUUUUUAAAUAUAAGCUCACAAGGGGAAAAGGGUUAGAGACUGCUGGUGUAUACCAACUACCAAUGGUGUUCUUUUCCAUUUCAAAUGUUCAAGUUACUUUAAAUUGAUUGGUGGUAUGAGGUGUUAAAAUAUAGUAUCUUAAAUUGUAAAAAUCAAUCCAAAUAAAAAUUACGUCCUUAAAAAAUUAUAAGAAAAAACAAUAAACAUUUUCUUCACAACA